UGGUUUAUAAUUGGAAAUGGUUCUUAUGAAAAGGUAUAUCAUGCAUAUUGGAAUGACUAGAUAACAUUGGUUGGCAGUUGCUUUAUGGCCAUCUUGUUCUCAGUAAAGGACCAUCAUUCAGUUUGGAUGAUGAUCUAGCUAAAGAAGCGAGUAAAGCAGAUCGUAACAAAAGAAAUAUGAGAGAGUUUGGAAUAUAAUACUUUUGAGUUU